rnacentral:rRNA from 1 species
UACGGAGGGGCUAGCGUUGUUCGGAAUUACUGGGCGUAAAGCGCGCGUAGGCGGCUUUGUAAGUUAGAGGUGAAAGCCCGGAGCUCAACUCCGGAACUGCCUUUAAGACUGCAUCGCUAGAACGAUGGAGAGGUAAGUGGAAUUCCGAGUGUAGAGGUGAAAUUCGUAGAUAUUCGGAAGAACACCAGUGGCGAAGGCGACUUACUGGACAUCUGUUGACGCUGAGGUGCGAAAGCGUGGGGAGCAAACAGG